rnacentral:sRNA from 1 species
UGCCCUGUUAUGGUGGGGGUCGGCGAAAGCUCCCCAAGCGGUGUUACAUCUGCUAGGACACCUAAAACAGGGCACC